GCCCUCCCCGCGCCCCCUCCCGCGGGGUGCAGUGGAACGUCCCUGCCUUGCGCAAAGCUGCCGGCGGGCCUUGUGAAAUGUGUUACCAAGUUGUUGGAAGUAGUAGCUGUUUUCUAUUUCAGAAAGUUAUGGGCCACUUUAGAAGCAGGUAACUCAUGACACUGGAAUGCAGAACUCCCAGACAAGGUGGGCUGUUUUGCAGAGGGCAGGCAGUGCAGUGAAAGACACAUUACAGGAGCGAUCUGGCAUGUAUCUGCACAGGCUAACAAACUGGUGUUUCAAAAUACAAGAUCAAUAUGUUCUUUGGGUAUUUAUUAUUAUUAUUAGAAGUGUCACAUUCCCAAAGUGUAGCUGAAUUUUCUCCCAGCUAUGAUACAUUCUGAGAUACUGGAUCUCAAGUAUUUUAGCUUUCACUUAUUUUCUUGACCAAUUACUUUCUAUCUCACAGCAAAGGUCAGUGGGAAUACACGACAGUAGAAAUAAAGAGGGUAAAAAGAACAAUACCUUAAGUAUAGAUCAUUUUAACCAGCAGCUGAGUAUCUGGUUAAGACCCUUACCUC